AUGGAUGAUGCAAUGGACAAAUUCAGUGAGAUGGUUGAUAUGGGAGUACCACACGAGACAACUGUUUGCAGGUUAAAGCUAUUCAGAGAAAUGUUGAGCAAGAGAGUUAAAGCUAGAACUUAUACUAAAGCUGGGACAAUUAAUUUGGAUCAAAGGGAGUAUCUGGCAUCAUACUGCAUUCGGUUAAUUCCAGUAUUUCCAUGCUCGGGAGAACCGUUGCUUGUUUGUGAUUGGUACACCAAAUGCUUAUACUGUUCCAUGUGUUAUUUUAACUGGCGCAUUGACCUAAUGAUUAUGCUGCUCUAA
rnacentral:rRNA from 1 species